rnacentral:rRNA from 1 species
CGUAGGGUGCGAGCGUUAAUCGGAAUUACUGGGCGUAAAGCGUGCGCAGGCGGUUUCGUAAGUCUGUCGUGAAAUCCCCGGGCUCAACCUGGGAAUGGCGAUGGAGACUGCGAGGCUAGAGUUUGGCAGAGGGGGGUAGAAUUCCACGUGUAGCAGUGAAAUGCGUAGAGAUGUGGAGGAACACCGAUGGCGAAGGCAGCCCCCUGGGUCAAAACUGACGCUCAUGCACGAAAGCGUGGGGAGCAAACAGGAUUAGAUACCCUGGUAGUCCACGCCCCAAACGAUGUCUACUAGUUGUUGGGUCUUAAUUGACUUAGUAACGCAGCUAACGCGUGAAGUAGACCGCCUGGGGAGUACGGUCGCAAGAUUA